rnacentral:rRNA from 1 species
GUAGGGUCCAAGCGUUAAUCGGGAAUUACUGGGGCGUAAAGCGUGCGCAGGCGGUUGUGCAAGACCGAUGUGAAAUCCCCCGGGGGCUUAACCUGGGGAAUUGCAUUGGUGACUGCACGGCUAGAGUGUGUCAGAGGGGGGUAGAAUUCCACGUGUAGCAGUGAAAUGCGUAGAGAUGUGGAGGAAUACCGAUGGCGAAGGCAGCCCCCUGGGAUAACACUGACGCUCAUGCACGAAAGCGUGGGGAGCAAACAGGAUUAGAUACCCUGGUAGUCCACGCCCUAAACGAUGUCAACUAGUUGUUGGGGAUUCAUUUCCUUAGUAACGUAGCUAACGCGUGAAGUUGACCGCCUGGGGAGUACGGUCGCAAAGAUUAA